GGGAAUGAGUGAGUAAUUCUGUUGGGGAGAAUACUGGAGAAGGCUAUAUGCAGCAGCUAGUCUUUUAACUCUUCUGCCACAAGAGGACCACUCUGGGCAACAGCAUGAUGGAAGGCUUAGGAGUGGAGGCUCUCAAGGAAAAGGCCCUGCUGCAGCUGUGGAUGAUGCCAAAACACAAGCCCUGGAAAUACCGUGAACAUAUGAAGGAUUCUGCUCAGAAACUAUAUGCACAGCAAAAUAUAAAUCAGCACAGUGGCUGGGCUACGUUUCCAGGACGUGGUACAAAAAAACAUAUAUGAAGAGGAUUAGUAUGACUUUGCAUUACAUAUGAUUAACUGUCAAUGGGAAGAACUUGCUAGAAGACAUGGGCUGGAACCUGAUCCAUAUGAGCAACCAGCCAGGUGGCUGAGAAGCUUGCCAGAGUGCGUGGGCAGGCUGCAGCCGGACUGUGCAGGCCCCCGAGGUGAGUGUAUGCUACCAGGUCUCUCACAUAUUAAUUCACUGGCUGCUGUGCUGAACAGAAAAGGACCCUGGACUGAGGAAGGGAUACCCCUUCCUCUCAGUAGGGCUUUGCACUCCCCCCAGUGACCUCUACUGACAGAACCUAACAUAAAAGGAGAGGUAUUUAUAGGGUACAGCUUCAGUAUCACAGAGUAGGACAAAAAAGGGUAGAUUUGGAGUUAAGAGUCAAUAAAUUGAUGCUGGCACACUGGUCAUCAGGAAAAUGCAUGUAAAAUAACAAAGAGAUAACUACUGACUAAACAAACAGGUACGAUAAUGCCAAAUAUUGUCAAGGAUGUGCGGAAAUGAGAACAAUCAUAAAUUGCUGGUGGGAAUGUGAUCGACAAAACUAUUUUGAAUACCAGUUUGUUAUUGACCAAAGCUGAAGAUGGGCGUAUCUUAUUGCAUGCAACACUACUUCUAGGUACAUAUGCUGGAGGGGAGAUUGCACACACGUACGAGUUGACGUGUAUGAGGACAUCUAUUUCAGAUAUAUAUUUAAUGACCCCAAAUUGGGCACAACAUAAAUGUCUACCAGUAGGGAGGGGUAUUAUACAAUAAAUCGUGGGAUCAUUAGUGGUAUUUUACCUAUGCAGCAAUGUAAAAGGAUGCAUUAUAUCUAUAUGUACCCAUAUUGACAAUUUUCAAAAACAAUGGUGAGUUAAAAAAAGAAAGUUGCAGAAGACCUCUUUAAUGCAUUAUUUAUAUAAAUUUUUAAACCACACAAAAACAUACUCCAUAUGAGAGAUUAGUAAACUUAUCUGUAAAGGGUCU
rnacentral:lncRNA from 1 species